rnacentral:rRNA from 1 species
AGCGAACGCUGGCGGCAGGCCUAACACAUGCAAGUCGAACGAACCUUUCGGGGUUAGUGGCGGACGGGUGAGUAACACGUGGGAACGUGCCUUUAGGUUCGGAAUAACUCAGGGAAACUUGUGCUAAUACCGAAUGUGCUCUUCGGGGGAAAGAUUUAUCGCCUUUAGAGCGGCCCGCGUCUGAUUAGCUAGUUGGGUGAGGUAAUGGCUCACCAAGGCGACGAUCAGUAGCUGGUCUGAGAGGAUGAUCAGCCACAUUGGGACUGAGACACGGCCCAAACUCCUACGGGAGGCAGCAGUGGGGAAUCUUGCGCAAUGGGCGAAAGCCUGACGCAGCCAUGCCGCGUGAAUGAUGAAGGUCUUAGGAUUGUAAAAUUCUUUCACCGGGGACGAUAAUGACGGUACCCGGAGAAGAAGCCCCGGCUAACUUCGUG